rnacentral:rRNA from 1 species
AUUGAACGCUGGCGGCAUGCCUUACACAUGCCAGUCGAACGGCAGCACGGGUGCUUGCACCUGGUGGCGAGUGGCGAACGGGUGAGUAAUACAUCGGAACAUGUCCUGUAGUGGGGGAUAGCCCGGCGAAAGCCGGAUUAAUACCGCAUACGAUCUACGGAUGAAAGCGGGGGACCUUCGGGCCUCGCGCUAUAGGGUUGGCCGAUGGCUGAUUAGCUAGUUGGUGGGGUAAAGGCCUACCAAGGCGACGAUCAGUAGCUGGUCUGAGAGGACGACCAGCCACACUGGGACUGAGAAACGGCCCAGACUCCUACGGGAGGCAGCAGUGGGGAAUUUUGGACAAUGGGCGAAAGCCUGAUCCAGCAAUGCCGCGUGUGUGAAGAAGGCCUUCGGGUUGUAAAGCACUUUUGUCCGGAAAGAAAUCCUUGGCCCUAAUACGGUCGGGGGAUGACGGUACCGGAAGAAUAAGCACCGGCUAACUACGUG